CAAGUGAACAAAGUUAGGGGCCCACGUGAUCCUCCGAGCCAAUAGCCGCCCCGCCUGCGAUUCCCGGAUAAGGAAAUCUGCUCACCCGGACCCUACUCCAGCCAGAGCCCCAGCUUGACCAGAGAAGACAGAAAGAACCCUGAGACGGGCUCCAGACUGCACUACGCAGAGCUGAGCACUUGGUUUUCAGAAGCUCUCCUUGUCCUGUGAGAACAAAACCAUAUCUUCUGCUUCCAAAUGUUUUUUUAAAGACUGUUGGCGUCUCCACAGCAGCUCCCUUGCCUACUCAUCACCAGCACAAAUAGGUUCAGUAGCAAAUCAAGAAGGCAUCAAAAAAUACUCAGAAAUGGUCCUGCCUUUCUCGCUCCAGAAUUCGACACAGGACAGAGAAAAGGAGGAAGGCAAACAGAAGAGGGGAGAUCUUCCAGCCCAGACUUUGCCCCCACCUCUUCAAGACCGCAGGAAUUCUUCUUCUUUGGCCUGACACCCCAGAGUUACUCCCACGGAAGGCUAGUAGAAAUAGGGGCAAGCACCUAGUUGGUUUACUCAAAAACUAGGGUCAAAGAGAUUUGGAAUUUACCACUAAGCCUUUGUCUUUUCCAGCCAUAUUUCAAAAGACAUCUGUUCACACAAACUCUUGGGUCAUCUCAGUUCUGGCAGGCCAAAUACCUACAGUGCACCUCCCACAUUAAAUGCUUGGAAGUGAAUAUGAUGACAUCUCUCCAUGCAGCAAACAGUCAUUUAAAGACCCAAAAAUAGGCAUGGGCCCUGGUGUUCUAAUUACAGUCUCUCUAAGCAUCUUACUUCUGAGCUAAGCUUAAUGCAUGGAUUCAAGGUUCAUUUCAGGUCGCCCCGUUUCAACUCCAGUUAAAGAGAGCUCAGUGGGGCCAUUCAGUACUUUUCCUCCCCAUUCUCCCCUCCCUCCUGCAAACAGGAAGAGAGGGAGCCCGGAUGAACAGAGAAAUGGAGGCUUGGGGAAGAGUAAGAGAACAGACAAGCUAACCACUUUUCAGUAUCCUAGCUGUUAAACCUGAGCAGUUGGCAGUUUAGGAAGCUUGCAGCACUGGCUCAUGGCCAUGGACUCCAGCUGCCUGGAGCCAGCGGGGGGCCUUCGGGGGGUCCCUGCAGACAGCCUUAUCUCCCUGGGAGGCAGAGAUGGAAGAGCCUGCAGUCGGGACCCUUUAGGGCAAGCGGGGUGGGGUUGAUGGUGGUGAGAAUCCAGCCUUCACCUUGGAAGCCUUCUUUGGCCCUGCCAAACCCCCUGCAAGGACGUGUGGGUAAUUGGAUUUUUUAAAUGUGUGCGGCUGGGUAGGUUUUAAUUAAAUUUUAUAUGGUGACUCAAAGGUUAUCUUUGGGAGAGAAAAUUGCGUGGCGGAGUGGCCA